AUGUUCACGGGACUCAGAGUUGAAGGCUCCUCUCCCUACCGAGCAGCUCCGCGCGCGGCCCCGCGAGAGAGCCCGGCGCAACUACUUUCUUCCCUUUCCUUUCUUUCUUUCUUCUUCUCUUUUUUUCCCCUGCUGGGUAGUGGCGGCGGCGGGGUGGGGGAGACUUUGAAUGACCGAGCUCGCGUCCACCUUUCUCUUCAUGUCGACGUCCCUGGAAACAGUCACACGGAUGCCAUGGUUACUUCUGCCACGGUGGAAACUUUAACGGUCGCCUCCCCGAGGAUGCCUUCCCUGCGCUCCAUCUCUGUCCGAUCCCGUCCUGGAAUUGUCUUCUCCAUCUGGUGUUUUUGUGCUCACGAGAAUGCAAGCACCUCGAGAACAGGGACUGUCUCUUCUUUCUGCUGUGCGAUUAUCAACACCAGUGAUAGCAGGCAUUCAGUAAACAUAUUUUAUUAUGUUAGGUGUGUGUUUAAGGGGCACCUGGGUGGCUCAGUCGGUAAAGCAUCCGACUCCUGCUUUCAGCUUAGAUCAUGAUCUCAGGGUUGUGGGAUCGAGCCCUGUGUUGGGCUCCCAGCUCAGUGCGGGGUCCGCUUCAGAUCCUCUGUCCCGUGACUUCUGCCCCUCCCGCUCGUGCUCUUGCUCUCUCUCUCAAAUAAAUAAGUAAAUAUUAAAAAAAUAAACAAAUAAAGAAGUGUUUUAAGAC
rnacentral:lncRNA from 1 species